GAGAUUUUCUUUCCAAUGUUUCUGGACCACAGGGACAGCCGAAGUUGUUGCCUGCAAUCAUUUCAGAGCCAUUCACUUCUUUAUGGAAAGUGUCAAUAGUCCAUGUCCGUUUAUGGGAUAUGCUUGCGUGACUGAAGAUGACUUCACGAGUGGUAGAUGCAACUCGUGCGGUACUGCUGGCUGUGCUUACAUGGGACUGCAUGCUGAUAAAAACAUUCCACCAAGAGGCCAGUCCAGAAAGAUUUUCUUUACCACA
rnacentral:sRNA from 1 species